UACAGAGGGUGCAAGCGUUAAUCGGAAUCACUGGGCUUAAAGGGCGCGUAGGCGGGCUCGCAAGUCAGGGGUGAAAUCCCACGGCUCAACCGUGGAAGUGCCUUUGAUACUGCGGGCCUGGAGGGAGGUAGGGGCGUGCGGAACUUCCGGUGGAGCGGUGAAAUGCGUAGAUAUCGGAAGGAACACCGGUGGCGAAAGCGGCGCGCUGGACCUCUUCUGACGCUGAGGCGCGAAAGCCAGGGGAGCAAACGGG
rnacentral:rRNA from 1 species